CGGGUGGAGUAUAAAGGAAGGAGUGUGAAUUUUGGGGUUGAAGAGCUAUGAGUUCUAACCUGGCCUCACUACUGUAUUACUUCUGUGAUCCGGGGCACAUGGCUUCCUCAUUGGAGCAGUGUCAGAGGGGAGAUUGAGGGGUGAUUCCACUGAAUGAAAGGGGAGAAUGUGAAGUAGACGGCCUGCCAGGUGAUUCACAGCUCUCAAGUAUUACUAUCACAGAAGCACAAUGCUAGUGAUGAAUUUAGGAGCACGGCCUCCGAAACUGGCAAACGAAAAGUGCAGGCAGUAAUAGCAGAAGCAUUCGUGGACCACUCCCUCGAAUUAAUGAGGAGUUCUAACAUUGUGCCAUGUUUGCCUCAGCGCUUCU